CGUGUAGGCGGUUUGGCAAGUCAGAUGUGAAAGCCCUGGGCUCAACCCAGGAAGUGCAUUUGAAACUGCCAUUCUAGAGUAUGGGAGAGGAGAGUGGAAUUCCCAGUGUAGAGGUGAAAUUCGUAGAUAUUGGGAGGAACACCUGUGGCGAAGGCGACUCUCUGGACCAAUACUGACGCUGAGACGCGAAAGCGUGGGGAGCAAACA
rnacentral:rRNA from 1 species